rnacentral:rRNA from 1 species
UGGGGUGCUCGAGUGGCGAACGGGUGAGUAACACGUGAGUAACCUGCCCUUGACUUUGGGAUAACUUCAGUAAACUGGGGCUAAUACCGGAUAGGAGCUCCUGCUGCAUGGUGGGGGUUGGAAAGUUUCGGCGGUUGGGGAUGGACUCGCGGCUUAUCAGCUUGUUGGUGGGGUAAUGGCCUACCAAGGCGACGACGGGUAGCCGGCCUGAGAGGGUGUACGGCCACAUUGGGACUGAGACACGGCCCAG